rnacentral:misc_RNA from 1 species
AAAGUCGUAACAAGGUUUCCGUAGGUGAACCUGCGGAAGGAUCAUUAACACUUUUUAUUAUUUUGUUUUUUUUCUAAAACAAAAUUUAAAACCCCACAAUUUUGGAUGAAUUUAAUUCAUUUAUUUUUUAUUUUAUUUUUUUUUAUUAUAACCCUAUUAUUUGACUAACAUUUUUAUUUAAUUAUUAAAAAAUUAAAAAAACAACUCUUAACAACGGAUAUCUUGGCUCUC